rnacentral:rRNA from 1 species
UACGAAGGGGGCUAGCGUUGCUCGGAUUUACUGGGCGUAAAGGGCGCGUAGGCGGACAGUUAAGUUGGGGGUGAAAGCCCGGGGCUCAACCUCGGAUGCCGGUGGAUACUGUCGGGCUUGAGUACGGAAGAGGCGAGUGGAAUUCCAGGUGUAGCGGUGAAAUGCGUAGAUAUCUGGAGGAACACCGGUGGCGAAGGCGGCAUCCUGGACCAACACUGACGCUGAGGAGCGAAAGCCAGGGGAGCAAACGGG